CAAUCCACAGCCCCGCGCCCCUCGCCCCUCCCUCCCUCUUCGGCCGCCACCUCCUCCUCCACCUCCUCCUCCUGCGCCCUAGGAGCCCCGCCGCCGACUGCUACUCCUCCACCGCGUCUUCUCUUCCUCCUCCUCGCUUUCCCAUCGCUCGGGCGCAGGCUGCCGUGACCAAGCGCUUCGCGGGCGAACCCGUCUCCACCGCCAGCUCUGGGUUCACGCGGGACGGGCUCCCCUGCCUGGCCGGCCUCGACGAGCAUGGCCUCGAUCCGGCCUCAGCCUGAGGACCUCGAGCCGAGGAGUGCGGCCUCGAUCGGGACUCGGCAUCUGGGGCGACGGCAAAGGAGGAGGGGAAAGGAGGGGAGCAGCAACAAACAUCUGGUGCGGCGGUGGCUGGACUCCAUGAGCUGGCUGCCGACGGCGGCGGUGCUGGAUUCGAUCUGCAGGAGAGAGAGGGAGGCGUGGCUUCGAAUUGGAGAGGGACUCCACCGGCAUCGGCCUGCGCGAGGAUUGGUGAAGAACUCCGUUGCCGCUGCGUGCCGUGCUUCUGGAUCGAGCGCUGCCUGACCAAGGGAUAAGAGUAUAAGGUAAAACUAGCCACCAUGCUCCUGUGCGGGCUGCAUCUCCACAUCUCCCGUUUCAUUAUUUCACCAUUGCUGCCUCUUCUCCUCUUCGUUGCUCUGGUUCUUCCCCUGAUUCCUCUUUUUCAUUUUUUUUCUCUUUGUGGCGCCGCCGGGGAUGAGAGGAGCAGCUGCUGAAGCAGGCGCGGCGUUGGUGCACUGCUGGCGAAGCGGUCGUCGACGGUGCCGUCGACGUCAUCCUUGGCAGAAGGUUGGUGCUUCCUCUCCUUCUCACUGCAGCUACCUAUGCAUGUAUUAUUCUAGGAUUUUGCAAGUUAAAUACUCAUGUGUGCUGAACUGAAAAGUUCUCUAUGCAACAUCUAUUGCAGCUUCAUCGGCGCCAGCUUCAUCACCAAGUGGACGGGCUCCGGAAGGCAGCCUCCUCCUAAGGCGCCAGGACCGUUGCUGACCAUAUGAUUGGUAGCCUUGGACAGAAGAGGGCCAACAACAAACAGAAGGAACCACUGUCCUGUCCAGAACAUGGAUCAGCUUUGGUGGCAUCCGAUGCUGCCAGGCCACGGGGUUAGAGCAGAGGAAGCUGACAUGGUGUUCGACAUUCAGAUGGUCAUUGUGAUCGACCAGAUGCGGCGCCUCAUGUCACCCCGAGCCUCCAGGGCUUGUUAGCGGUGCUCAUAAAAUUGACAAUUUCGCCGGGUUGCCGCCAUCAGGUGCCGCGCGCUGUGAUUCCGGAUCGGCCGUAGGUCGCGUCCAAGAGAGCUGGAGUGGCUGCUGCAGUGAGGGCAUCAGGGGAACCCAUCCUGCUCGACCCCCCACUCUUGGCGGCUAUCUGUAGAGGAGUAGAGAUCGAGGAUGGCUCCCAGUUCGUCGAGGAGACGCCCGACACAUAGGGUUAGCGAGGAGGAGGCUUCCUUCCAUGACGAUGCGCAGAGGAGAAGACAAGAGGAUAUGUGCUGCUAGAUCUGACAUGGAGGUGCUAUUCAAUCCAUCAGUUGCUAGCGGCCUGCUGUGAUUAAGGAGGCCGUGUUAUUUUGGUGUGCGAGAGAGAUCUUGCAGGCUGGCAGAUGCUUUGAACAUGAGCAUGUGGGCAAUUUGGAUUUGUCUGAAGAAGAGACAAAGAAAACAAUCUCAACAUGCUGGUUGUGCUAGAUUUCUCAAGCAUUGGCAAGGCUACGGUAACGGGGAGUGUCAGCAACUACAAUUAAUUCAUUUAUCCAUGGAAUUGGGAUAACAAAAAGAGGUCUCAAGAAAGAGAAAAUAACUUGUGGUUCAAGCAGCAAGAAGAUAGCCAGCCUAAAUGAAUCAAAACAAGAACAAGCGUCGGUAAUUUACAAAUGAGGAAGUGUAGCUGGUGAUGUAAUUACUUUCAAUAGCGCUUCAGCUCUGCAAUCGACAGUUUGACCUCAUGCUAGGGCAGCCUCAGCCAGUUGCCUCUUCUAUUAAAGGGUCCCUCAGCUACUUAUGUUUUGCUAGACAAUGAGGGUAUGUAGAUAGCAUGUAUGUUUUUUACAUUGUUUUGCGCAGGUUGAGAUGCAUCACAUGAUGUUUUCCUUUUACAUUUAUGGGUAUUACAGAACCCUUUCUUUUUCCACAAGGGGCAGUAGCUGGGUAUCAUUCAGGAUAUAUACACAAAAGAGUAUAGAACCAAAUUAUAUGAUGUAAUUGACUACUAUCUAUUAACUUCUCAUGUAGACAAUGUUCACAAGUUCAUGUAUUAAGUACAUUUUAUUGUGUCA